rnacentral:snRNA from 12 species
AUACUUACCUUGCCUGGCCAUUGGUGGAUCAAGAAUCACUAAUGGCAGGCUGGAAGGCCUGCAUAGCACAUCGUGGCGCCGACCAGUCUGGUUUACUCCUAUGGGGUCAACCCGGGUGGAAUUUUUGAUGCCAGAAUCCGGACACAAACCGUUCUU